GAUGAACGCUGGCUACAGGCUUAACACAUGCAAGUCGAGGGGCAGCAUUCCGGUUGCUUGCAACCGGUGAUGGCGACCGGCGCACGGGUGAGUAACGCGUAUCCAACCUUCCCGCGACCAAGGGAUAACCUGCCGAAAGGCAGACUAAUACCUUAUGUCCUCCUUUGAAGGCAUCUGACGAGGAGCAAAGAUCCGUCGGUCACGGAUGGGGAUGCGUCCGAUUAGCUUGUUGGCGGGGCAACGGCCCACCAAGGCAUCGAUCGGUAGGGGUUCUGAGAGGAAGGCCCCCCACACUGGAACUGAGACACGGUCCAGACUCCUACGGGAGGCAGCAGUGAGGAAUAUUGGUCAAUGGGCGGAAGCCUGAACCAGCCAAGUAGCGUGCAGGAUGACGGCCCUACGGGUUGUAAACUGCUUUUAUGCGGGGAUAAAGUUGCCCACGUGUGGGUUUUUGCAGGUACCGCAUGAAUAAGGACCGGCUAAUUCCGUGCCAGCAGCCGCGGUAAUACGGAAGGUCCGGGCGUUAUCCGGAUUUAUUGGGUUUAAAGGGAGCGCAGGCCGCCGUGCAAGCGUGCCGUGAAAAGCAGCGGCCCAACCGCUGCCCUGCGGCGCGAACUGCUUGGCUUGAGUGCGCCGGAAGCAGGCGGAAUUCGUGGUGUAGCGGUGAAAUGCUUAGAUAUCACGAAGAACUCCGAUUGCGAAGGCAGCUUGCGGGAGCACAACUGACGCUGAAGCUCGAAAGUGCGGGUAUCGAACAGG
rnacentral:rRNA from 1 species